CUACUUGCUCACCUUGAAUAAACGCAUCAUGCCUAAAUGUAUCCAUUGGAGCUUAAUGUCGGGAAUACAUGACUGUAGGUCAAGCAGAAGAGGUCAGAGGUUAGACAGGUAGUCAGUGCUAAGCUUGUAGAGGUCACACUCUCAUGUAAAUACAUCAAUAUGUCCCACAGACGCCCUUCCACCUGACCUCUAAAAAGUGCGCUAUGGAUUAACGGUAGCUCUGUCUUUUUACAUAUGAUUGUGUGUGUAUAUAUAGGUGUGGAAUCCGUGUCAGCCUGGUUAGCAUGUGUGUUUAUGUGUGCAUGUGUGUGAGAGAGAGAAAAGAAGUGUGAAAGGUACUGCUGUUUUAUUUAUAGAGUAAGCACUAUUUAUACCCAACUAAAAGAUGGGUUUAGAGAAGCGGCUCUCAAUUACAGAGGGCGCGUGCACACCAACACACAUUCAUGCAUUGCUAGGAGCUGAAUGAGGACAAGACCGACAGAAGACGGAAAACUCAAAAAUCCUGCUCAAUUAGAAGGCAAGAUGCCAAAACGCAUGAUCGUUGAUUAGUUAAAUUCAAGCUUUUAACGUGGAGUAAAGGCUGACUAAUCGGUUCAACCACUAAAACACACACAGACACACACACAAAUACACACACAAACACACGCGCACACACAGGUAUGGCUGCAAGAAACAUUGGGUCUUUUUUUUUUUACAAGCAUACCCUAACAACACAUUCAGAUAUUGGCAAUACAUAUACUAAACAGCUGUAUGUCAGUUGUGCAAGAGUUGUUUUUUUUUUUCUUCAGCCCACACUGACUGAGUGUUCUUCACGGAGUACGGGAGGGUUUAACAUGCUGGGGAUCAAUACUGUGAACCAGCGGCAAUCCAUAGUAAUUCAUCUGGCUUUUUUUUACAUGUUCAUUCUCACUCACACUCACCAUGUACAGAACCACAGAAGCGCAAUACAUAAAUAAACACACCGGCAUACCCCUAACCACAGAAACGCAGUAACACACACCUGAAUGUCUGAAACGAUUGCAGUCUCUAUGCAAACGCAGGUUCAAUAAACCCGGGAGGAAUUUAUUUAUUUUUAUUGAGCAUAUCAGCCCAUCCUGGUCUCUGCAUAACAAGGCUUGUAUAAUUAAACCAUAAAUUUAAGGGUGCUCCUUUAAUUACCACAGACAAUGUCAGGAGGCAGCAGAGUAAACAAAUGGCGUUGAAGUGAACUAAGAAAAAAAAAAAAAACACUAUGACAGACCAAUGGAGAUAUUCGAUUCGGUGGGCUUGUUGUUGCACUUGAAAAGAAUGAAUUGACUCUACUGUAUGUGUAAAAGGAGCAUGAUAUGUAUGUCCUCCUUCUUAUUCCAAGACAGCUUUUGAGUAAUGCAGGCUUUCUGCAAAGUGAAAGGAAGAAUAACCAGUGAAAUCUUAUCACUGAGCGCAUGCCUAAGCGCAAAUCUGUAUAUCUGCAUGGAGAGGGUGGGAGAAUGUUUAAAUGUGUGUAUUCAUCUCUCUUACGGAUAAUACCGUUAGUAGUAUAAUGUAUUUGUGUGAGGUGCAUGAAUGGAUGGAUUUGCGUGCGUGCGUGCACAAAGGCACAUUUCAGGUCAAUGUCAACAUGCAGGCCUGCUUCCCAGCAGCUCAGCUAAUUACACAAGAGCCCCGAAGGCCACUUAGAACAGGUUAGCUAAUUAACAAACAGACUGAUUGCAGAUUAAUUGAGAGGUGUUCCUAAUCUCUCCCCCCCUAAACACAAUGACAAAUGCUAACUGAUGCUAAUUAGGUCGGUAUGGAAGAGUGGAUGUUGUAUUUACAGUUGCAGUGGCUCAUACGACUUGUAGCUUUAAUACAGAUACCUUUCAAAUCCAUUCAUCCAUCUUCCAUCUGUGACUAAGGUCAAGGGUCUUGCAGCCUACCCCAGCUGAUUAGGAGGCCUGAGGCAGUGAACACCCUAAACUGGUCAGCAGCCAAUCGCAGG